rnacentral:rRNA from 1 species
UACAGAGGUCUCAAGCGUUUGUUCGGAUUCAUUGGGCGUAAAGGGUGCGUAGGCGGCGCGGUAAGUCGGGUGUGAAAUCUCGGAGCUUAACUCCGAAACUGGACAUUCGUAUACUGCCGUGCUUGAGGACUGGAGAGGAGACUGGAAUUUACGGUGUAGCGGUGAAAUGCGUAGAUAUCGUAAGGAAGACCAGUGGCGAAGGCGGGUCUCUGGACAGUUCCUGACGCUGGAGACGCGAAAAGCGUGGGGAGCGAACAGG